UACGGAGGGUGCGAGCGUUGUCCGGAAUCACUGGGCGUAAAGGGCGCGUAGGCGGCUUGGGAAGUCCGUGGUGAAAGCCCGAGGCUCAACUUCGGGUCGGCCAUGGAUACUCCUAAGCUCGAGUCGACUAGAGGCUAAUGGAAUUCCGGGUGUAGCGGUGGAAUGCGUAGAGAUCCGGAAGAACACCGGUGGCGAAGGCGGUUAGCUGGGCUCGGACUGACGCUGAGGCGCGACAGCGUGGGGAGCAAACAGG
rnacentral:rRNA from 1 species